ACUGUAGUAGUUUAAGUUAAAACAGUGGAUUGCAAAUCUGAAGAUGGGUUGCCCUUACAGUU
rnacentral:tRNA from 1 species